rnacentral:lncRNA from 1 species
AUGAAAAACGUUAUUUUUUUAUUAGCUUUUCUUUUUUUUUUUUCUUUUCAAGUAUGUCAUAUGUUAAAAAUGAAAAGUUUUGGGACUGAGUACAAGGGGUUCAUGUUUUUUCAAAUUGAUAGAGAUAUGAACGAACCUCCUUAUUAUGUUAUUAAUGUCCAUUAUACGGAAUCCAACUUAAGUGAAAAUUUAUUGAAUAAAAUAAACAACAACAGAAAUGUGGAAAAACAUAAAACACAAAAUUAUUUUAGAAAGGUUUAAUAUUGCAUGGAAAAUGCGAAAUUUUCAAAAAUUGUAUAUCGACACUAUCAUACACGCUUAUUCACUUAUAUACACAUACAUAUACACAUAUAUACACGUAUUACUUUUUUGUUAAAAAUAGAAUCUAAUCAGGAAUAAAUACUUUAUUAAUUAUGCGAAAAGACA